GUCUAGGGCCAUGCCACCCUGAACAAGCCCGAUCUCGUCUGAUGUCGAAAGCUAAGCAGGGUCGGGCCUGGUUAGUACUUGGAUGGGAGACCACCUAGGAAGACUAGGUGCUGUAGGCA
rnacentral:rRNA from 1 species